rnacentral:rRNA from 1 species
UACGUAGGGUGCGAGCGUUGUCCGGAAUUAUUGGGCGUAAAGAGCUUGUAGGCGGUCUGUCGCGUCUGCUGUGAAAAUCCGGGGCUCAACCCCGGACUUGCAGUGGGUACGGGCAGACUAGAGUGUGGUAGGGGAGACUGGAAUUCCUGGUGUAGCGGUGAAAUGCGCAGAUAUCAGGAGGAACACCGGUGGCGAAGGCGGGUCUCUGGGCCGAUACUGACGCUGAGGAGCAAAAGCGUGGGGAGCGAACAGG